GAAACUAAAAAAAUUUGGCGGCAAGUUGAUUUUUUAGAGGAACUUGUCUCGUAAUCGAUAAUCCCCGAUUUAUGAACUUUAAUUUAUUUAGCUUAUAUACCGUUGUUAUAAGAAUGUAUUUUCAGAUAAUUUUCUUCAGUUCAUUGAGAUGUUAUUUCAGAUCAAGGUUUAGUUUAUGUUGAAGUGUAGAUGAGUUACAAUAAAAAUAUUUAUACGAAUUAUUUAAUUUAAAUUUUUUUUGAAGGUGGAUUUAAGAGUAAGUGGUAUUAGUCUAUGAAGU
rnacentral:rRNA from 1 species